rnacentral:misc_RNA from 1 species
AAAAAAAAAAAAAUUGCAAUGCUACAAAUAAAGAGUUGAAGUUUGCAUGCUCCAGCACAUAAGAGUUGAGAAACCGAAGCUUCUUCCUAAUCUCAGGCAUUUCAUCCUAUUUUAAUGACAACAAAGUGAGAAGAACUGCCUGCAAUUAUUUCAGUACUAGAAUUAGAAAUUUGGAGAACACUCAGCCCCAGAAUAUCCUCAUGUUAGGCAAUGCAGUCAAGUACAUGAGCCAAACUUCCCAGAUCCUCUACGAAUAUCAAAACUACUAUUGUUUAUUGGCCCAAAUAUUGAGGUGCAUUUUUUUUUACUUUUAUCUGUUCCCUUAUUAGUUGAGACUUGAGAGGGAAAGAGGCGUAGGGUUUGGGCGUGGGCUUUGGGCUAAAGAUAGCACAAAGGUGCUUGAAUGACCUGAAUAUUCAUUUAUGAUGCAACAGUGCCUCAAUUCAUAGCUCAAAAGACUCAGGCAGCAAAGCAUCUUCCCAGCAGCACACGGUCAUGCAGCAUUUCAAUGCAGCCUGCCCCAAGUUGUCGGCAUAAAAUCAAAGAAAAUAAAACAGCUGAAUCCCACACUAAAUCCUUUCCACCAGCACAGCCUAGGAUAUUUCCCCAGGGAGCCACUAUAGUCAUCUUGCAGUAGAUGAGCCGGCUUGUCAUGAUGCAUGGAAGUGCUCAAUAUAACAUGAAUCAGUAUGAAAAGUCAGACUAUAAGAUGAGGACAUGCCCCCAGAACCAGAACAGGCAAGGACCAUAACUUUCCAGCAAUUUGAACCCAAAGGCCAUUGCAAAUAGCAUGAUCCUAAGAUCAGAAGAUGAAUCUAAAUUUGACUUGUGAUCUAGAAGGACAAUCAACAACAUAUCGUGAACCAACAAACACAAUAGAAUAGACCCAAACAAUGAGCCCAUACAAGCACAGGUUGAACCAAGACAUCCUGCAAUCGCCCGGUCUGCCUUAAGAACCAACCAAAAUUGCACCUACAGCGCAAAACUGGGGCAUAUAACCAAGACCUUGCACAAUGCUAUUGCUACAAUCUUCAUCACAUAAUCAAGGGACUUCUGACCACAGUUCAUGUUUGGUUGGUGCUGCACUUGGUACCAAAGAAGAAAUACUCAUCAGUGUUAACAUUAAUAAUUAGCAUCUUAAGAACCUUGAUUUCAU